GCCUCGGUAGCUUAGCCCGGUCGAGCGAUUGACUUGUAAUCAAUAGGUCGAGGGUUCAAAUCCCUCCCGGGGCU
rnacentral:tRNA from 1 species